GUUUUCGUAUGUGAGGUAAUCUUGCUGGGAGUGAAGGCAGUGCGUAUGACCACUUGAUAUGAGAGACACUUCCUGUUUUUAAAGGUAAACUUUAUACUGUAAGCUCCAUUCCCUUUAUAACAGAGUUUUUGUGAGGUAAUCUUUCUUAUGCUGGGAGUGAAGGCAGUGCGUAUGAUCACUUGAUAUGAGAGACACAUCCUGUUUUUAAAGGUGGAUCAUAUGUGAAGCUCUGCAGGUCGGCCAUUGACUUGAUAACAGUGGUUUAUGUUUAUUCAAUUUAUGAAUAAAUCUCUCGCCAACCAUUCACCUAUUUACUGACAAAACAGAUCCAAAUCUUGUACAGCCUGAUGCUCAUCCUUCUAUGAUGAUGACCACUGCAAGGUGAUGGGAAUCUGUGGUUCUCACAGCCUGCGUCUCAAGAUCAACAUGACAACAGCAGUCAUCUCUUAUCUUACUCUUAUCUGACUAAAUGUUCAACCUCAUUGUCACAAAACAAAGAAUAUUGGAUGGAGUAUGUACUGUACAAUGAUCCAGCAAACAAAAUAAUUUGGAAUUUUGUCGAGAUUCUACAAACAUUGACACAAUCCUAUUGACUUUUAUAUUUACAGUUAGUAAUGUAUUAUUAACAUCUAGGGAUGCACCGAAUCCAGAUUUUUUAGGUUCGGCCGAAUCCCGAAUCCACCGUUUAAGAUUCGGCCGAAUCCGAAACCGAAUACCGAAUCCUACUCGCAUCCUUAUUCCAACACAGUAAAACACAUUAAUGAAGUAAAAAACGUCCACAGCAGUGUAUUUUUCAUUUUAUUUAAUUUUAACUGUACAUUAUGCCAGGAUGACAAGUUGGAAAAACUAUUUUGACAAUUACCAUAAGCCUAUGCAUAAUG